rnacentral:rRNA from 1 species
CCUAGGGAGGCUGCAGUGGGGAAUAUUGGGCAAUGGAGGAAACUCUGACCCAGCAACGCCGCGUGAAUGAUGAAGGUCUUCGGAUUGUAAAGUUCUUUUCUAAGGGAAGAAGAAAGACGGUACCUGACUAAGAAGCCCCGGCUAACUACGUGCCAGCAGCCGCGGUAAUACGUAGGGGGCAAGCGUUAUCCGGAUUUACUGGGUGUAAGGGAGCGUAGACGGCUGUGCAAGUCUGAAGUGAAAGCCCGUGGCUCAACCGCGGAACUGCUUUGGAAACUGUAUAGCUUGAGUACUGGAGAGGCAGGCGGAAUUCCUAGUGUAGCGGUGAAAUGCGUAGAUAUUAGGAGGAACACCAGUGGCGAAGGCGGCCUGCUGGACAGAAACUGACGUUGAGGCUCGAAAGUGUGGGGAGCAAACAGGAUUAGAUACCCCUGUAGUC